GGGGGUGUCAAAGGAUUCGACAAAAGCUAAAGAGAGGUUAGUGCAUGUGUAUUUGAUCUAUCUUCGAGGUCAAAGGUGUUCCUUAAGUAAACGAAGAAGAAACAACCGCAAACAAGAAGAGGUUUAAGUUAGUAUCUAAUGACAGCUGUUACACAUUAGAACAAAGAAACAGGGUCUAAAGCUUCUUCUGAAAUAUAUGUGUAGUGCUUUGGAAUAUAUAGCGUAAGAUUAAACAUGUAGAGCUAAUCGAGGUAUGCUUUUGGACGUGGGUUCGAGUCCCACCAUCUCCAC
rnacentral:tmRNA from 1 species